rnacentral:rRNA from 1 species
GAUGAACGCUGGCGGCGUGCUUAACACAUGCAAGUCGAACGGUGAACACGGAGCUUGCUCUGUGGGAUCAGUGGCGAACGGGUGAGUAACACGUGAGCAACCUGCCCCUGACUCUGGGAUAAGCGCUGGAAACGGCGUCUAAUACUGGAUAUGUGACGUGACCGCAUGGUCUGCGUUUGGAAAGAUUUUUCGGUUGGGGAUGGGCUCGCGGCCUAUCAGCUUGUUGGUGAGGUAAUGGCUCACCAAGGCGUCGACGGGUAGCCGGCCUGGGAGGGUGACCGGCCACACUGGGACUGAGACACGGCCCAGACUCCUACGGGAGGCAGCAGUGGGGAAUAUUGCACAAUGGGCGCAAGCCGGAUGCAGCAACGCCGCGUGAGGGAUGACGGCCUUCGGGUUGUAAACCUCUUUUAGCAGGGAAGAAGCGAAAGUGACGGUACCUGCAGAAAAAGCGCCGGCUAACUACGU